rnacentral:rRNA from 1 species
CCCUUAGAUGUUCUGGGCCGCACGCGCGCUACACUGAUCGAUUCAACGAGUUUUGAAAUAAUUUUUUGAUUUUUUCAUAUCCUUUGUCGGAAGGCAUGGGUAAUCUUUUAAAUGUCGAUCGUGAUGGGGCUAGAUUCUUGCAAUUAUUAAUCUCCAACGAGGAAUUCCUAGUAAACGCAAGUCAUCAGCUUGCAUUGAUUACGUCCCUGCCCUUUGUACACACCGCCCGUCGCUCCUACCGAUUGAAUGAUCCGAUGAAUACCAUGGAUUGAGAGUACGAAUAGGUUCGCUUAUUUCUGCUGCUCGAGAAGUGGAGUAAAUCUUAUCAUUUAGAGGAAGGAGAAGUCGUAACA